AAUGAACGUUGGCGGCGUGGAUUAGGCAUGCAAGUCGAGCGAGAUCUGUAGCAAUACAGUGAAAGCGGCGAAAGGGCGAGUAAUACGUAGGUACCUGCCCUCGGGUCUGGGAUAGCUGCGGGACACUGCAAUUAAUACCAGAUGACGUCUGAGGACCAACGGUGUGAUUCCGCCAGGGGAUGGGCCUGCGUCCUAUCAGCUAGUUGGUGUGGUAAAGGCGCACCAAGGCAAAGAAGGGGACGGGGGGGGAGAGCAUGCCCCCGCUCACUGGGACUGAGACGCUGCCCAGACACCUACGGGUGGCUGCAGUCGAGAAUCUUCCGCAAUGGGCGAAAGCCUGACGGAGCGACGCCGCGUGUGGGAUGAAGGCCUUCGGGUUGUAAACCACUGUCAGUGGGGAGCAAAUGGCUAGGGGUUCUCCCCUAGUCUUGAGCGAUCCGCAGAGGAAGCACAGGCUAAUUCCGUGCCAGCAGCCGCCGUAAAAC
rnacentral:rRNA from 1 species